rnacentral:misc_RNA from 1 species
GAUGAAGAACGUAGUGAAAUGCGAUAAGUAAUGUGAAUUGCAGAAUUCAGUGAAUCAUCGAAUCUUUGAACGCAUCUUGCGCUCCUUGGUAUUCUGAGGAGCAUGCCUGUUUGAGUGUCAUUAAAUUCUCAACUACACUGACUUUGAAUUGGUGUGGCUUGGAUUUGGGGGGAAAAUUGUUGAGGGCUUUUUGUAUAGUCUGCUCCCCUGAAAUUGAUUAGCGGUACCUUUGUGGAACUGUCUACAGGUGUGAUAAUUAUCUACAUCUUAGACAUCUGCUGGAAUGCUGCUCUCUAAACCUUACUUGUAUUGACAAUCUUGACCUCAAAUCAGGUAGGACUACCCGCUGAACUUAAGCAUAUCAAUAAGCGGAGGA